UAUGUGAGAAACGCAUCUUUGUGAACUUUUGCUUUAUCUUUUAGGUAAAUGAUUAGAACAUGCUUUGCUUCUCCUGUCUUGCAGGGAGACUGACUGUGACCCUGACUGUGAAAUCUGUAUUCCUGAUAGAAUUAUAUAGAUACAAUCUUCUACUAAUAGCAGCACUUUGGCUUAGUGGUGGCUGGAUCUGUAUUAAUAUUUUGGGUCUUAAUUGGUGACUGGAUCGACUGGAAACCAAAAAAGAAAGGUAUCUGGUCCUUCGACCUCACCGUGACCCAGCUUCUUCAGGAGAACAUUCCAGAAGCAGAGCAAGGGGCUGCGAACGGUGUGCAAUGCUUCCUGAACCACCUCAUGGCCCUCCAUCCACUUCGUCUGGGUCAUGCUGGCUCUGCGGCCAUGGCAUUUCAGCGUCUCGUCUUCAUCUUCAUCCUAUUUGUAACCAUGGGGCACAUGCUGUAUUUUUUUUUUUUUUUUAAUGCAAGAAAGUGUAAGAUUAGAAACGCCCAUGUUCAGAAGACAGCAAAGAAGGGAGCUUUAACCUGACAGAGAUGGAACAGAGGAGAUCAGAAAGAAUAGACAAUAAUGGCCACUCAUCCUGCUUCCAGUAUGAAGAUUCCCCUACAUCUAGCAUGGACAGAAGUGUUGACAGAGGGAGGAGUUUUGGCAGAACAACAGAAGUCAAGUACGGCAAUGGCAAAGAAAAAGCCAACUACUAAGCCUGUCUGUCUACCACAUUACUUUAUUGGCUUCCAAAUAAACCCAAUCCUAGGGGACAAAAGAUGUGAAUCCAUAUCAGAAGAGAGAGGCAGUUCUGGAUUCCUGAGGUGUGUAAAGCUUUGAUUCUGCCCCCUCUCUGUAAGGUCUGUUUUCACCAGUCCAUAGCCCUAGGCUUGGUCUUGGAGCUGGGUUCUUCAGGAUAGGCUUCCUGUACAUGAGCUCAUAUGGACUCAACCUGAGUUUCCUUUGGGGGCCAUUUGCAUUCUCAAAAGUGCUGUGGGGAGAAGGGAGAUCUAGGCUGAUGAAUGAACCACAGGAGAAUUCCUAAAUUUUUGCUGAGGGUUUGGUUUGUUCUACUUUUCCUGAGGAUUGUGGCCUCCAAGUAGCGUGUGAACCCCAUUUGAUUCGUAGAGCUCUAGAGUUUCUCUUAGUAAUUUGGGAAAAUAACAUGGGCCCGUUGUGACUCUGGAUGGAUAUAAGGAGCCUGAGCUGAAGAUUACUUCCUUGAGCAAGGCCUUAGACCUCCAAGCAGUCUCUGUUUGAGUGGGGAAUGCUCCAUUAGUUGGAGAAGGUGUCAAAACCAGCAUAGGAGUUCCCUGGUAGCCUCAUGGUUAAGGAUUAGGCAUUGUCACUGCUAUAGCUCAUUGUCACUGCUAUGGUUCGAGUUCAUUUCCCAGCCUGGGAACCUCUGUGUACCAUGAAUGUGGCCAAAAAACAAAACAAAACCAGGAUAUAUCUAAAAUUUAAUUGCCCCAGGGCAUUACUGUGAAAUCAGAUUGCCAGUCUUAACCUGCAUAUGUGCCUUUAUACUGGGUGGGGGUCACUCCCUUGGCCUUGGGUCGGGGGAGGUGUGUUGGGCUUAUUCCAGAGGCAGAUAGGGCAAGCUUUUACCACCUGUUUAAGUAGACUGCAGAAAUUGGGAGUAGUCAUGGAUUGGAUAAGCUAUUGAUACAGGGCCUCCUGCCCAUAAAGUAUGCUCUAGUGAGUUUCCCAGAGAGCAAUGGCUGAUGGGAGAAUAGCUGCCCAUGACCAUUAACCAGCUACCUGGGUAUUAUGCCUUUUAAAACAACCCCACCUUUGAGUUUCCUGGUGGCCUAGUGGUUUAGGAUUUGGCAUUGUCACU
rnacentral:lncRNA from 1 species